GUGUGACUGCGUACCUUUUGUAUAAUGGGUCAGCGACUUAUAUUCUGUAGCAAGGUUAACCGAAUAGGGGAGCCGAAGGGAAACCGAGUCUUAACUGGGCGUUAAGUUGCAGGGUAUAGACCCGAAACCCGGUGAUCUAGCCAUGGGCAGGUUGAAGGUUGGGUAACACUAACUGGAGGACCGAACCGACUAAUGUUGAAAAAUUAGCGGAUGACUUGUGGCUGGGGGUGAAAGGCCAAUCAAACCGGGAGAUAGCUGGUUCUCCCCGAAAGCUAUUUAGGUAGCGCCUCGUGAAUUCAUCUCCGGGGGUAGAGCACUGUUUCGGCAAGGGGGUCAUCCCGACUUACCAACCCGAUGCAAACUGCGAAUACCGGAGAAUGUUAUCACGGGAGACACACGGCGGGUGCUAACGUCCGUCGUGAAGAGGGAAACAACCCAGACCGCCAGCUAAGGUCCCAAAGUCAUGGUUAAGUGGGAAACGAUGUGGGAAGGCCCAGACAGCCAGGAUGUUGGCUUAGAAGCAGCCAUCAUUUAAAGAAAGCGUAAUAGCUCACUGGUCGAGUCGGCCUGCGCGGAAGAUGUAACGGGGCUAAACCAUGCACCGAAGCUGCGGCAGCGACGCUUAUGCGUUGUUGGGUAGGGGAGCGUUCUGUAAGCCUGUGAAGGUGUGCUGUGAGGCAUGCUGGAGGUAUCAGAAGUGCGAAUGCUGACAUAAGUAACGAUAAAGCGGGUGAAAAGCCCGCUCGCCGGAAGACCAAGGGUUCCUGUCCAACGUUAAUCGGGGCAGGGUGAGUCGACCCCUAAGGCGAGGCCGAAAGGCGUAGUCGAUGGGAAACAGGUUAAUAUUCCUGUACUUGGUGUUACUGCGAAGGGGGGACGGAGAAGGCUAUGUUGGCCGGGCGACGGUUGUCCCGGUUUAAGCGUGUAGGCUGGUUUUCCAGGCAAAUCCGGAAAAUCAAGGCUGAGGCGUGAUGACGAGGCACUACGGUGCUGAAGCAACAAAUGCCCUGCUUCCAGGAAAAGCCUCUAAGCAUCAGGUAACAUCAAAUCGUACCCCAAACCGACACAGGUGGUCAGGUAGAGAAUACCAAGGCGCUUGAGAGAACUCGGGUGAAGGAACUAGGCAAAAUGGUGCCGUAACUUCGGGAGAAGGCACGCUGAUAUGUAGGUGAAGUCCCUCGCGGAUGGAGCUGAAAUCAGUCGAAGAUACCAGCUGGCUGCAACUGUUUAUUAAAAACACAGCACUGUGCAAACACGAAAGUGGACGUAUACGGUGUGACGCCUGCCCGGUGCCGGAAGGUUAAUUGAUGGGGUCAGCGCAAGCGAAGCUCUUGAUCGAAGCCCCGGUAAACGGCGGCCGUAACUAUAACGGUCCUAAGGUAGCGAAAUUCCUUGUCGGGUAAGUUCCGACCUGCACGAAUGGCGUAAUGAUGGCCAGGCUGUCUCCACCCGAGACUCAGUGAAAUUGAACUCGCUGUGAAGAUGCAGUGUACCCGCGGCAAGACGGAAAGACCCCGUGAACCUUUACUAUAGCUUGACACUGAACAUUGAGCCUUGAUGUGUAGGAUAGGUGGGAGGCUUUGAAGUGUGGACGCCAGUCUGCAUGGAGCCGACCUUGAAAUACCACCCUUUAAUGUUUGAUGUUCUAACGUUGACCCGUAAUCCGGGUUGCGGACAGUGUCUGGUGGGUAGUUUGACUGGGGCGGUCUCCUCCUAAAGAGUAACGGAGGAGCACGAAGGUUGGCUAAUCCUGGUCGGACAUCAGGAGGUUAGUGCAAUGGCAUAAGCCAGCUUGACUGCGAGCGUGACGGCGCGAGCAGGUGCGAAAGCAGGUCAUAGUGAUCCGGUGGUUCUGAAUGGAAGGGCCAUCGCUCAACGGAUAAAAGGUACUCCGGGGAUAACAGGCUGAUACCGCCCAAGAGUUCAUAUCGACGGCGGUGUUUGGCACCUCGAUGUCGGCUCAUCACAUCCUGGGGCUGAAGUAGGUCCCAAGGGUAUGGCUGUUCGCCAUUUAAAGUGGUACGCGAGCUGGGUUUAGAACGUCGUGAGACAGUUCGGUCCCUAUCUGCCGUGGGCGCUGGAGAACUGAGGGGGGCUGCUCCUAGUACGAGAGGACCGGAGUGGACGCAUCACUGGUGUUCGGGUUGUCAUGCCAAUGGCACUGCCCGGUAGCUAAAUGCGGAAGAGAUAAGUGCUGAAAGCAUCUAAGCACGAAACUUGCCCCGAGAUGAGUUCUCCCUGACUCCUUGA
rnacentral:rRNA from 1 species